UACGUAGGGUGCAGGCGUUAAUCGGAAUUACUGGGCGUAAAGCGUGCGCAGGCGGUUUGCUAAGACAGGUGUGAAAUCCCCGGGCUUAACCUGGGAACUGCGCUUGUUACUGGCAAGCUGGAGUGUGGCAGAGGGGGGUGGAAUUCCACGUGUAGCAGUGAAAUGCGUAGAGAUGUUGAGGAACACCGAUGGCGAAGGCAGCCCCCUGGGCUAACACUGACGCUCAUGCACGAAAGCGUGGGGAGCAAACAGG
rnacentral:rRNA from 1 species